AGCCUGAGGAAACCAAGGAACAGGAAGAGGAGGAAGCAGUACCAGUUGCCGAUUAUGCACUCCCUUCUACUGAUUUUGGGCUUUCUGCUCCUGAUUGGGGCGCACAAAUUACUGAAGGCCAGUGGACUGCUGAAGCAGCUCCACCACCUAUUUCUGCUGUUCCUGCUGCCAACUUUUAUCCGGAGCAGAGUAGUAAGUUAUUCAAACACUAUUGAGCUUCCUUCAUUUUCAUUUGAUCAUGUUGUGCUUUAAGAACUAUUUUGCCAUACUAAUUGGUUUUUGAAAAAAUUUUUUAUAUUCAUAUUUUACUAUUUUGAAGCAAAAAUAUGUUAACGGUUUUGUAGAUGCAUUUCUUGCACAGUAGUGGCCAUUUCCCCCCUAUUUUUCCUAACAUCAUUACUUUGAUUAUCAACUUUAGGUGGAUUCUCUAAUGAAUGGGACGCUGCAGCCCCACCUCCGCAAUUUGCUGGUGCAGUAGCUCCUGCUGCCUCUGCUGCUCCUGCUGCCUCUGCUGCUCCUACUGCCCCAACUGGCUGGGAGUAGUGUAGCAAGAGAAGCUCAAUGCUGUGUUUUAUGCUGUGUUUUAUGGAUGUUCAGAAUUAUUUGUGGUUGUUCGAGGGAUUGCCAACACCAAAUUGCAAAAUUGGACUUGUUUUGUUUUAUUUUAUCACAUCAUUGUUGGCAAUAGCUUAGUUCUAGACAUUUGAAUUUUAAAAUUUUUGACAUUGAACUCGAUGUAGUGAUGCAAAAUUUUUUUUCUUAUCUUUUAUAUUCAAGAAGCUUUUGCUAAAGCUCAAUAUUUGAAUUGCCUCGAAAUUUUAAGGUAGAUGAAAAAACCAUUUUGGUCUUUAAAUUAUUAUGAAUUACUUAGCAAUUUUUUUUGCUUUAAAUAUAUUUUGGUUGCGACUUUAAUUUGACACUCUUGACUGCAACGUGAAUUUGAGAUUUAAAGGUUUUGAAGAUGCUCUGCACUACUGUGUAUAACUAAUUAUGAUUAGUUAAAUUAUUGCUACUCAUUUUCCAGCUUCUGUUAUUUAAAUUUACUAUUAUAUUUUAAAUAAAUAUAUUCAAUAUUUAUAAUAUUAUUUAAAGUGUAAAUAAUGAUAAUUAAAUUUCAAAUAAAUGUAAAAUGAUUUAAAAUGAAGUUUAUUGAAUAAUUUAAAUUAUAAAAUUGUAAUAAUUAUUUUUUUUAAAUAGGAGGAUAGAAGGAAUGAUAAUCUAAUUUGGGGCGCACAAAUUACUGAUGGCCAGUGCACUGCUGAAGUAGCUUCACCACCUAUUUCUGCUGUUCCUGCUGUCAAUUUUUAUCCGGAGCAGUGUAGAAAGUUAUUCAAAAACUAUUUGGCUUCCUUCAUUUUCAUUUGAUCUUGUUUUGUUUAAGAACUAUUUUGCCAUACUAAAAUUAUUUUGAAAAAAUUGCUUGAUUCGUAUUAUUAUUUUCAAGUAAAAAUAAUGCAACAUAUUUUUGUAUGCUAUAGUUUUGUAGAGAUAUUUCUUGCAUGUGGUUUUCCCUCCUAUUUUUCCUAAACACCGUUUUUUUUACUAUUAAAACUUAGGUGGAUUCUCCUAUGAAUGGUGAAUGGGACGUGGUAGCCCCACCACUGCUGCAGUAGCCCCUGCUGCCCCAACUGGCCGGGAGUAGUGAAGCAAGAGAAAGCUCAAUCCCGUGUUUUAGUGGAUGUUUAGAAUUAUUAGUAGUUCGUCAAAUUGGGAAAUGGACUUUUUUUUUUCUUUUAUUUUGACAUUAUUUUGGGUAAUAAUUUAGUUGUAGAGGAUUGAAUUUUAAAAUUUUUGCCAUUUAUCUUGAUAUAGUGAUACAAUUUUUUUUAUUUAUUUCUCAUGUUCAAAAUGAUUUAUUUAAGUUAUAGAAUUGAAUUACAAAAAAAUUUUAAAGUAUGAAAAAAAAAAACAUUCGGAGUGUUUAAAAUUAUUAUGAAUUAUUUAGUAUUAUUUAAUUUUUUUUAAAAUAUAUUUUAAUUGUGGUUUUAAUUUAACAUUCUGAUUAACUGUAACGUAAAUCUUCUAUUUUAAAUGGUAUCAAACUUGUAUUAAAAAUGGUUGGUAACAAAUAACGAUCGUAGUCAUUAGCGAAUUAUAACUAGUUAAGUUUGCUUUUCAUUUUCUAGUCUCGGUUAUUUAAAUUUACCAUUAUUUUUAAAAUUUGUUUAAUUAUUCUUUAUAAUAUUAUUAAAAUUUUAAAGUAUAAACUAUUAAUAUUUCUUUUAUAUAAAAUUUCUAUUAUAAUAAACCUGAAUAAUAAUGAUUAUUAAAUUUCAAGUAAAUGUAAAUUUAAAAUAAUUUUAAUAAAUUUAAAAUAAAUGAAUGAAAACUAUUUAAAAUCAAAUUUUAAUGAAUUUUCAAUAAUUUAAAUAUUAAAAUUAUUUUUUUAGUAAGAGGAUUGAAGUAGUGAUAACCUGAUUUGGGUUUUAACCAAAAGAGAUAUCAAAACUAGCCCAUGAAAAGCCUUAUUCCUUUUUAGUAUAACAAAGAAACCGGAAUCCUAACUCAUUGUCAUCCUCUUCCUCUCACUCUCUCUGUUGCUCUAAAGCUAUUGCACUGUGCAGCUAUAGCGACCACCAAAACAAUAACACAUACACACGCUUUAUUUUAGGAGUUGGAUAUACAGAUGUUGGCUGCUAAAAUUCUCUUAGCAUUGAGAAUUGUGAUUUCGAGAUGGAAUAUUACGUUUUCAAGGCCACAAUGGUGGUAUAUACUCUCAUAUCUCUCAUUCACAUAUUUUUAACUGUAUAUAUGUCUGUUUGUGUAAUAAAAGAACUGGUAUAUGUAGAUAUACAAGUUGUUUUUUAUCAUUUCAGAGAUCUUUAUAGAAGAACUGGUUAUAUUUAUUAUAAUUUGGCGUGCCAAAGUUCUAAAUCCUACUAUUGUUUGCUAUCGAUUUGCCUCUUCAUUUGAGUCCUAUUGUUUAAAAAUAUGUUAUGAAUGAUGAUAUGAACUACUUGAUGUUUAUCCACAUGAAUUUAUAACAUCAACCUUGGAAAGAUAUGGAAAAAAAUCAACUGGUUGCCAAGGUUACUGUGGCCAUUGAGAACCCACAAGACAUUAUUGUAUGGUCUGCAAGGCCUUACAUUCAAAGAACAUUUUUCAGUUAGCCACGUCUCUUGAUCAUCACUAAUCCAAUAACUGCUCACUAGGUGAAUAUUGCCUUAUUCAUGACCUCAAGCCAUUUUUACGAUUCUUUUGUUUCUUAUAUAACCCUUCACACCAAAUUUUAACUAUGAUUAUAGAUAACUUGCAAUCUUUAAGAAAUCUUUUCUUGAAAAUAUUCCAACCAUUGCUUUCUGUAACACUGACGGAUAUUGGCAUUUCAACUAAUAAGAAAGGAAACCAGAGUAUUGGAUGUCUAUUUUGAUUGUUGGCAAGAACAGUUUUACAUAUGCAUGGCACUAUACCUCAAAGGAAAAAAUAAACAGGAUACUUUUGAAAAAUUCCUUACCGACAUUGUAGUGUAUACGUUUAAUGAAUAAUUAAUAAAUUGUUAAAAUGAUGGGGACAUUUUUUUUAACCAAUGUAUAUCCAUCGCAUUUUUGCAAGAUGCAGUGGUAUACAAAUAAAUCAAGCGCCAUCCAAAAUAAGAUUAAAGUAUAUAAAAAAAUAAAAAUAAAAAUUAAAUAAAUAAAAAAUAACUAUACAAAUUGUGUCGAAUCAAAUUAAAUUUAUAAUAAAAAAUACAUUCACAAAUACAAAAUUAUUGACGUUGAUAUUAAUAAAUAAAAAUUGAAGCAUAGCAGACGAAUAAUUAUCAAAUGAAGUCCAUACCUCACGAACUAUAACGAUCACACACAAUGUCCAUCACGUUAAUAUUAAUAAAUCGGAUUGCAUAGUCUCCCAACUCGAAUCAAUUUUAAUUUUGAUCAAAUCAAACGAUGAUUAAAAAAAACAGAAUAUUAUGUUUCAGCUCAAAAAGAAUUUUAAUAAUAUUUAAUUUAGAUAGUCAGAUACAUCAUCGUUGCUUAGUUUGCCUUAUAGGCUGCAAAGAGAGCUCAUCUAACUUGACCCGCUGCACGUCCCUGGAAAACCAUUUGUGCACAUAUUUCUGACGGGUCAAUUUGUGCAGUGUUUCCCGAGCCUAAUGGCCCGCCCAAGCCCAAAAAAAUUGUUGAGAUCACACUCACUUCAAGAAAGAGGUCGAAUAAAAAAAAUAAUUUAAACAUAAAAUAUUUUACAUAUUAAUUAAACUUAAUUUUUUAUCUAUUUCAAAUAUUAUAAUUAUUAUUUUUUAUUAUUUAGACUUUCUAUUCUCAACUAUCUGAUAUCUCAUUAUUAAUAAAAUAAUAAUAUUUAUUAAUAUAAUAAUUAAAUUUUAUUUAAUAAAUAUUUUAUAUUUAAAAGGAAUUAUAACAAUUCUAUAAAGUUAAUAUCCGUUUUAUAGAAUUGUGCAAAUAAAAUUAUAGUUCCAUCUAAUAGAGUUUACUUAUUUUCUAAAUUACUGUUUUAAGAUAUUAGUUUAAAAUAUUUAAUUUUGCUUAAAUUUAAUUUAAAAAAAAAAGGAAAUUGAAUCUACUCAAAUAAAAAAUAAAAGGAAAGAAAUCACUUUUGAUAAAAAGAUAGAAAUGAAAUUGAGGUUAAAGUUUUUAAUAAUUUUGAAAUAAGACAGUAUGAAAAUUGCAGUCAAAAUAUAAAAGUUUUUGGAAACCUUCGAAUUUCUUCUUUUACUUUCUAAAACUCCUUGCAAUUCAUCAAACUAAAAGUUUUGAAUGAAAUUAUUUAUUAAAUUAAAAUAAAAUUUUGAAAUAAAUAAUUUAAUUAACGAUUUACUUUCAGAUAUGAAUAUUAAAAUUUAUUUUAAAACAUCUAAAUUUAUUUAAAAACAUUUUUUAAAUUUUAUUUUUAAUUCAAAUUGAAUUAAAAAAAAACUUGAUAAUAACAAAAAUAAUGGAAAACAGACCUAAUUAUUUUUAAGUUGUCAAUUGUUUUCAAAACUAAUUACAUAUACAAAAUGUAGAUAUUUGUUUAAUUAAUAAUUAAUAAAUCAUUAAAAUAUAAUAAAAUAUAUUACAAUAUAUAAAGAAUUUCAAAUUUUUUUAUACACUCAAAUAUAUACACUCAUUUAAUAUAAUCUAUAUAUAUAAUUUAAAAUUAAAAUAAAAUUUUACCUUACAUGUUAAUUAAAAUUUUAAUUAUUUAUUAAUUAUAUAUAUAAUUUAUACCUUCCAUAUAAAAUAUAUUUAUAUUUUUUAUAUUUAAAAUUUGAUAAAGUUUAAAAUAGAUAUUUUCGAAUAUUCCAUCCACCUAAAAUCUAAUAGUGCGAGUUACUUGUUUAAAUAGUUAUAUGAAAUUUAGGGCGGAUUGAGAUUUAAAAAAAUAAUUGGAUUGAAUUUAAAUUUGAUGUAUAGAAUAUUUAUUAUUUAAAUUUAUUUAUAUAAAUAAUUAAUUUGAUAUAAAAAAUAUAUUUUAUAAUAAUAUUUAUAAUUUUUUAUUUAUUUUCAUUUAAAAAAUAAAAAUUUAAAUAUUUUUUAGAAAUAUUGAAUUUUUUAAAUAAAAAUUAUUAAUAAAAAGUAUUUUUUAUAUAAAUUAUUAAUUAAAAUAUAUAAAAUUAAAUGAAUUUAAAUUUAUUUGAAUAAUAAUAAUAAUAAUUAAAUUUAAAUAAUUUAAAUUAAUUUUUAAUUAAAUUUGAAUAUUUCUGAUAUAAAUGAGAAUCGGAUUCUGAUAUUUUAAUUUUGGCAGGUAUUCAACCCGUUUACAUCCUACCAAAAAAAGAGCUCACAACCUGACUAUUAUUUAAUCGGGACUUAAAAACCCUACACUAAUUUAAAGAAAACCCUAACUCGCGGAUCUUCCUUUCACCCUCUACAUCUCCCUGGAGCUCUUGCGCAGCGCAGGCAUGGCCACGGGUACAGCAGCGGCACCAACACGGGCUCUGUCCCAGAAGGAGCUGGAUAUACAGAUGAUGUUGGCUGCUGAAGUUCACCUCGGCACUAAGAACUGUAACUUCCAGAUGGAACGUUACGUCUUCAAGCGCCGGAAUGAUGGUAUAUAUUCCGUACUUCCCUUGGUAUGCAUGUACAUGCCUGUAUUUAUGGAUUUUUCCUGCCCAAAUGUUCGUGUUUGGAUGUUAUUAGCAAAUGUAUCCUGUUCUCAUUUUCUGUAAUUCAGGUUUGUGGUUUGUUAAUUAUUUAUUUAUUUUUGGGAUGGUUGGGAGGGUGUCAUUGACAUUGGAUCCAUCUUAAUUAGGAGAUGUCAGAUCUGUGCUCUGAGUUUUAUUUGGAAACUAUUAUGUCUCUGUUCAGUAACCUUAGGCUACAAUUUUUAUCUAAAUGUUGAGCAUUGUGUUUUAACUUUGGAUGAUGUGAAUUUGUUGGUUACAUGACUUAAAAGCAUUUGAUAGAUAUUUGUGAGCCUUGCUUUCAGUUUUCCUACUAUGCUGACAGUGUCUGAAAGAAAAAGCUACUAGUUGUAUUCAUAAUUGGGUUAUUUGAAUUACUUACAAAUGAAUUUGAUUUAGUUAAGCAGUGAUUACCAAGUUAAGUUGAUAUCUGUGGAAAUUUUGCUUUUAUUUGGAAUACUUAAUAUGCAUUUAUUUAUAUGUAGCACCCAUAUAUUAGUUGUUUUUGUUCAUUUAGAGAUGCUUGUAGAUGAAUGGAAUGUGUACAUUAUGAUUUUGCGUGCCAUAUCUUUAAAUUCCAGAAUUGUUUGCCAUUGGCCUUCUUACAUGAGUUCUAAAGUUUAAAUAUAUUGACAAGAUGUUUUGGAUGUUAGUUGAAUUCAAUUACUUGGUGUUUAUCCCUCAGGAAUUUAUAUCAUCAAUCUUGGAAAGACAUGGGAAAAACUUCAACUGGCUGCUAGGGUUAUUGUGGGCAUUGAGAACCCACAGGACAUGAUUGUCCAGUCUGCAAGGCCUUAUGGUCAAAGAGCUGUCCUCAAGUUUGCCCAAUAUACAGGUGCCCAUGCUAUUGCUGGAAGGCACACUCCUGGUACAUUCACUAACCAGCUCCAAACAUCUUUUAGUGAGCCCUGUCUUUUGAUCCUCACCGAUCCAAGGACAGACCACCAGGUAAUCCUGCCUUAUCGAUGAGGUUAAGCUUAGUAUGCAUGUCAUUUUUAAGUCUGCUGAUUUUCUUUUCCAAUCAUGGACAUUAAAAUUUUCCUAUUAUUAUAUACAACUUGCAGCCUAUUAAGGAAUCUUCUCUUGGAAAUAUUCCAACCAUUGCUUUCUGUGACACCGAUUCUCCUAUGCGGUAUGUGGAUAUUGGCAUUCCUGCAAAUAACAAAGGGAAGCACAGUAUUGGUUGUCUGUUUUGGCUGUUAGCAAGAAUGGUUCUGCAGAUGCGAGGCACUAUUCCUCAAGGGCACAAGUGGGAUGUUAUGGUACAUACAUAUUAUCAGAUAUCUGUUUUGUGUUUAAUGGCUCCAUCAAUUUUUGUUCUUUUGAUUGCUAGUAUUUACUUAUGCAUAAUUAAUAUGCAUAUUUUGUGAAGGAGUUCUUGCUAAAAUGGUUGCAUAUGUUGCAACGACUUUUUAGUUCUAAGGUUUAUUACAUUAUCAUUUAUUUGUUUUCCUUGUACAGGUGGACUUAUUCUUUUAUAGGGAGCCUGAGGAAACCAAGGAACAGGAAGAGGAGGAAGCAGUACCAGUUGCCGAUUAUGCACUCCCUUCUACUGAUUUUGGGCUUUCUGCUCCUGAUUGGGGCGCACAAAUUACUGAAGGCCAAUGGACUGCUGAAGCAGCUCCACCACCUAUUUCUGCUGUUCCUGCUGCCAACUUUUAUCCGGAGCAGAGUAGUAAGUUAUUCAAAUGCUAUUGAGCUUCCUUCAUUUUCAUUUGAUCAUGUUGUGCUUUAAGAACUAUUUUGGCAUACUAAUUGGUUUUUGAAAAAAUUUUUAUAUUCAUAUUUUACUGUUUUGAAGCAAAAGCAUGUUAACGGUUUUGUAGAUGCAUUUCUUGCACAGUAGUGGCGUUUUCCCCCCUAUAUUUCCUAACAUCAUUACUUUUAUUAUCAACUUUAGGUGGAUUCUCUAAUGAAUGGGACGCGGCAGCCCCACCUCCACAAUUUGCUGGUGCAGUAGCUCCUGCUGCUCCUGCUGCCCCUGCAGCUCCUGCUGCCCCAACUGGCUGGGAGUAGUGGAGCAAGAGAAGCUCAAUGCUGUGUUUUAUGGAUGUUCAGAAUUAUUACUGGUUGUUUGAGGGAUUGCCAACACCAAAUUGCAAAAUG
rnacentral:lncRNA from 1 species